rnacentral:rRNA from 2 species
GACGAACCGUCCUAACGUUGUUCGGAAUCACUGGGCUUAAAGGGCGCGUAGGCGGGCGAGCAAGUCUAGGGUGAAAUCUUUCGGCUUAACCGGAAAAUAGCCUUGGAUACUGCUGGUCUCGAGGGAGGUAGGGGUCGUUGGAACUUCCGGUGGAGCGGUGAAAUGCGUUGAUAUCGGAAGGAACGCCGGUGGCGAAAGCGAACGACUGGACCUUUUCUGACGCUGAGGCGCGAAAGCCAGGGGAGCAAACGGG